AGCCGCCGCGGUAAUACCGGCGGCUCGAGUGGUGGCCGCUUUUAUUGGGCUUAAAGCGUUCGUAGCUGGGUUGUUAAGUCUCUUGGGAAAUCUGGCGGCUUAACCGUCAGGCGUCUAAGGGAUACUGGCAAUCUUGGAACCGGGAGAGGUGAGGGGUACUUCGGGGGUAGGAGUGAAAUCCUGUAAUCCUCGAGGGACCACCUGUGGCGAAGGCGCCUCACCAGAACGGCUUCGACAGUGAGGGACGAAAGCUGGGGGAGCAAACCGGAUUAGAUACCCGGGUAGUCCCAGCCGUAAACUAUGCGCGUUAGGUGUAUCGGUGACCACGAGUUACCGAGGUGCCGAAGGGAAACCGUGAAACGUGCCGCCUGGGAAGUACGGUCGCAAGG
rnacentral:rRNA from 1 species